AUUGAACGCUGGCGGCAGGCCUAACACAUGCAAGUCGAACGAGUGGCGGACGGGUGAGUAAUGUCUGGGAAACUGCCCGAUGGAGGGGGAUAACUACUGGAAACGGUAGCUAAUACCGCAUACCAUCGGAUGUGCCCAGAUGGGAUUAGCUAGUAGGUGGGGUAACGGCUCACCUAGGCGACGAUCCGUAGCUGGUCUGAGAGGAUGACCAGCCACACUGCAACUUAGACACGGUCAAGCUUCCUACGGUAGGCAGCAGUGUGGAAUAUUGCACAAUGCGCACAAGCCUGACGCAGCCAUGCCGCUUGUAUUAAGAAGGCCUUCGGGUUGUAAAGUACUUUCAGCGAGUAGGCGUUACUCGCAGAAGAAGCACCGGCUAACUCCGUGCCAGCAGCCGCGGUAAUAC
rnacentral:rRNA from 1 species